AGAGUUUGAUCCUGGCUCAGGACGAACGCUGGCGGCGUGCCUAACACAUGCAAGUCGAACGGAGAAUUUCACUAAGUUUACUUAAAGAAAUUCUUAGUGGCGGACGGGGGCGGACGGGUGAGUAACGCGUGGGUAACCUACCCAUAAAAUCGGGACAACCCUUGGAAACGAGGGCUAAUACCGAAUAAUCUUAAGUCGUGGCAUCACGACUUAAGAAAAGGUGGCCUCUGAAUAUGCUACCGAUUAUGGAUGGACCCGCGUCUGAUUAGCUAGUUGGUGGGGUAAAGGCCUACCAAGGCGACGAUCAGUAGCCGGCCUGAGAGGGUGAACGGCCACACUGGGACUGAGACACGGCCCAGACUCCUACGGGAGGCAGCAGUGGGGAAUCUUCCGCAAUGGACGAAAGUCUGACGGAGCAACGCCGCGUGUAUGAUGAAGGUCUUCGGAUUGUAAAGUACUGUCUUUGGGGACGAUGCGCAUUGAGUUUAUAUGACGGUCUCCCACGAGGAAGCAUCGGCUAACUACGUGCCAGCAGCCGCGGUAAUACGUAGGGGGCAAGCGUUAUCCGGAAUUAUUGGGCGUAAAGGGUGCGUAGGCGGCUUAUUAAGUCUAUGGCGAAAGUGCGGGGCUCAACUCCGAAUUGCCUUUAAAAACUGUCAGACUUGAGUGCAGGAGAGGGCAAUGGAAUUCCAUGUGUAGCGGUAAAAUGCGUAGAUAUAUGGAGGAACACCAGUGGCGAAGGCGGUUGCCUGGCCUGUAACUGACGCUGAAGCUCGAAAGCGUGGGGAGCAAACAGGAUUAGAUACCCUGGUAGUCCACGCUGUCCACGCUGGCUACUUGGAUUACUAAGUGUUGGAGAUAUUCCGUGCUGCAGCAAACGCAAUAAGUAAUCCGCCUGGGGAGUACGGUCGCAAGGUUGAAACUCAAAGGAAUUGACGGGGGCCCGCACAAGCAGCGGAGCAUGUGGUUUAAUUCGAAGCAACGCGAAGAACCUUACCAAGCCUUGACAUCGUCUGCAUUACUCUUAAUCGAGGAAGCCCUUCGGGGCAGAUAGACAGGUGGUGCAUGGUUGUCGUCAGCUCGUGUCGUGAGAUGUUGGGUUAAGUCCCGCAACGAGCGCAACCCUUAUUGCUAGUUGCCAUCAUUAAGUAAGUGACUCUGUUGAGAGGUGUUUUCACUUCUCUCAAUAGCGGCGGACGGGUGAGUAACGCGUGGAUAAUCUGCCUGUAAGACUACACACGUACUACAAUGGCCUGAACAGAGGGAAGCAAAACUGCGAAGUUAAGCCAACCCCUUAAAACAGGUCCCAGUUCGGAUUGUAGGCUGCAACUCGCCUACAUGAAGUCGGAAUCGCUAGUAAUCGCAGGUCAGCAUACUGCGGUGAAUACGUUCCCGGGCCUUGUACACACCGCCCGUCACACCACGAAAGUCGGCAACACCCGAAGUCGAUGACUCAACCCGAAAGGGAGAGAGCCUUCGAAGGUGGGGUUGGUAAUUGGGGUGAAGUCGUAACAAGGUAACCA
rnacentral:rRNA from 1 species